AAGACUAUAGACCUGCGGAGUACCUGCGGAGGGAUCAUUACCGAAAACAAAACCAUAUGUGUGUAUAUAUUGUAUGGUGAGCGUGCCAAACAGGUGCGCUCGCUGUACAUAUAUAUAUACAUAUAUGUAUACACCCCUUGUGUGAACAACCGAUUCUAUGUGCAUGCAGUUGAGGCGCAAUGCGCCAAGGCUGCGGCACAUGAUCAACACCUUACAUUAUCAACCCAACCUUUUGGACAA
rnacentral:misc_RNA from 1 species